rnacentral:rRNA from 1 species
GAUGAACGCUAGCUACAGGCUUAACACAUGCAAGUCGAGGGGCAGCAUUUCAGUUUGCUUGCAAACUGGAGAUGGCGACCGGCGCACGGGUGAGUAACACGUAUCCAACCUGCCGAUAACUCGGGGAUAGCCUUUCGAAAGAAAGAUUAAUACCCGAUGGCAUAAUUAGACCGCAUGGUCUUAUUAUUAAAGAAUUUCGGUUAUCGAUGGGGAUGCGUUCCAUUAGGCAGUUGGUGAGGUAACGGCUCACCAAACCUUCGAUGGAUAGGGGUUCUGAGAGGAAGGUCCCCCACAUUGGAACUGAGACACGGUCCAAACUCCUACGGGAGGCAGCAGUGAGGAAUAUUGGUCAAUGGGCGCAGGCCUGAACCAGCCAAGUAGCGUGAAGGAUGACUGCCCUAUGGGUUGUAAACUUCUUUUAUAUGGGAAUAAAGUUUUCCACGUGUGGAAUUUUGUAUGUACCAUAUGAAUAAGGAUCGGCUAACUCCGUGCCAGCAGCCGCGGUAAUACGGAGGAUCCGAGCGUUAUCCGGAUUUAUUGGGUUUAAAGGGAGCGUAGGUGGACAGUUAAGUCAGUUGUGAAAGUUUGCGGCUCAACCGUAAAAUUGCAGUUGAUACUGGCUGUCUUGAGUACAGUAGAGGUGGGCGGAAUUCGUGGUGUAGCGGUGAAAUGCUUAGAUAUCACGAAGAACUCCGAUUGCGAAGGCAGCUCACUGGACUGCAACUGACACUGAUGCUCGAAAGUGUGGGUAUCAAACAGGAUUAGAUACCCUGGUAGUCCACACAGUAAACGAUGAAUACUCGCUGUUUGCGAUAUACAGUAAGCGGCCAAGCGAAAGCAUUAAGUAUUCCACCUGGGGAGUACGCCGGCAACGGUGAAACUCAAAGGAAUUGACGGGGGCCCGCACAAGCGGAGGAACAUGUGGUUUAAUUCGAUGAUACGCGAGGAACCUUACCCGGGCUUAAAUUGCAUUUGAAUAUAUUGGAAACAGUAUAGCCGUAAGGCAAAUGUGAAGGUGCUGCAUGGUUGUCGUCAGCUCGUGCCGUGAGGUGUCGGCUUAAGUGCCAUAACGAGCGCAACCCUUAUCUUUAGUUACUAACAGGUCAUGCUGAGGACUCUAGAGAGACUGCCGUCGUAAGAUGUGAGGAAGGUGGGGAUGACGUCAAAUCAGCACGGCCCUUACGUCCGGGGCUACACACGUGUUACAAUGGGGGGUACAGAAGGCAGCUACCUGGUGACAGGAUGCUAAUCCCAAAAGCCUCUCUCAGUUCGGAUCGAAGUCUGCAACCCGACUUCGUGAAGCUGGAUUCGCUAGUAAUCGCGCAUCAGCCAUGGCGCGGCGAAUACGUUCCCGGGCCU